GAUGUGCAUGCAGACACUAGUAGCAAAAAAACACUCAUUGAGAAGGUAGGCAUAGAUUGUGCUACACUUUUCAAUAGUAUCUCUUUACCUGCUUGGGA